rnacentral:rRNA from 1 species
AACGAACGCUGGCGGCGUGGAUAAGACAUGCAAGUCGGACGAGAUUUUUCGUUGUAGCAAUAUGAUGGGAAGUUUAGUGGCGAACGGGUGCUUAACACGUGGGCAACCUGCCAGGAAGUGGGGGAUAGCUCGCCGAAAGGCGAAUUAAUACCGCAUGUGAUUAGAGAGGACAUCCUUUCGAAAUUAAAGUCGGGGCAACCUGACGCUUCUUGUGGGGCCCGCGGCCUAUCAGCUAGUUGGUGGGGUAACGGCUCACCAAGGCUUUGACGGGUAGCUGGUCUGGGAGGACGACCAGCCACACUGGGACUGAGACACGGCCCAGACACCUACGGGUGGCAGCAGUCGAGAAUUUUUGACAAUGGGGGAAACCCUGAUCGAGCGACGCCGCGUGGAGGAUGAAGGUCUUCGGAUUGUAAACUCCUGUCAUUGGGGAACAAUGCGUGACGGUUAACUGCCGUCGCGUUGAUAGUACCCGAAGAGGAAGAGACGGCUAACUCUGUGCCAGCAGCCGCAGUAAUAC